GACGAACGCUGGCGGCGUGCUUAACACAUGCAAGUCGUACGGUAAGGCCCUUUCGGGGGUACACGAGUGGCGAACGGGUGAGUAACACGUGAGUAACCUGCCCACAACUUUGGGAUAACGCUAGGAAACUGGUGCUAAUACUGGAUAUGUGCUCCUGCUGCAUGGUGGGGGUUGGAAAGCUCCGGCGGUUGUGGAUGGACUCGCGGCCUAUCAGCUUGUUGGUGGGGUAGUGGCCUACCAAGGCGGCGACGGGUAGCCGGCCUGAGAGGGUGACCGGCCACAUUGGGACUGAGAUACGGCCCAGACUCCUACGGGAGGCAGCAGUGGGGUAUAUUGCACAAUGGGCGCAAGCCUGAUGCAGCAACGCCGCGUGCGGGAUGACGGCCUUCGGGUUGUAAACCGCUUUCAGCAGGGACGAAGCUUUUUGUGACGGUACCUGCAGAAGAAGCACCGGCUAACUACGUG
rnacentral:rRNA from 1 species